GGGGAUGUCGGGUUUCGACAGGCGAACAGAUUGUUGAAUUGCAGGCCGAGGUGUCGGUACGCACUCUCGUUAAACAACCGACAAAACAAUAGAUGCCAAACCGGCACCUGCUUACGCUUUCGCUGCUUAAUAACCAGUAGGCGUCGUCCACCCAGUUUUUUCUCGUGGGACUGGAUCUGGGCGUCGAAAACGCGAGAUGCUAUGACGAUAAUCGCCUUCUAGUCGUCAUUUAAGACCAGAGGGCCAGCGCUAACGAAUCCUGUCGAUGGGAGUCCGCAGCGUAAGAAAAAACAUCGACUACGCCUGUAGUACAUUCUCCGAUAGGUUCGUUUGGACGGGGGGUUCAACUCCCCCCCAUCUCCACCA
rnacentral:tmRNA from 1 species